UCCUACGGGAGGCAGCAGUGGGGAAUAUUGGACAAUGGAGGCAACUCUGAUCCAGCAAUGCCGCGUGUGUGAUGAAGGCCCUAGGGUUGUAAAGCACUUUCAACGGUGAAGAUGAUGACGGUAGCCGUAGAAGAAGCCCCGGCUAACUUCGUGCCAGCAGCCGCGGUAAUACGAAGGGGGCGAGCGUUAUUCGGAAUUAUUGGGCGUAAAGGGCUCGCAGGCUGCUUGAACAGUUAGACGUGAAAUCCCCGGGCUUAACCUGGGAACUGCGUUUAAUACUAGCAAGCUAGAGAAAUAGAGAGGAAAGUGGAACUCCCAGUGUAGAGGUGAAAUUCGUAGAUAUUGGGAAGAACACCAGUGGCGAAAGCGACUUUCUGGCUAUUUUCUGACGCUGAGGAGCGAAAGCGUGGGGAGCAAACAGGAUUAGAUACCCUGGUAGUCCACGCCGUAAACGAUGUGUGCUAGAUGUUGGAAGGUUACCUUUCAGUGUCGCAGCUAACGCACUAAGCACACCGCCUGGGAAGUUCGGUCGCAAGAUUAAAACUCAAAGGAAUUGACGG
rnacentral:rRNA from 1 species